AUGGAACCACACCCCCUGCGUUGGAAGCAUGGAAUCCUAACCACUGGACCACCAGGAAAGUCCCAUAAAGCCUUGAUUUUUAAAAGAUGCCAAUUGGAGAGAGGUGGAGAAAAGGAGCCCCAAGGGUGUUUUGGCUCUUGGUGCCCACUGGGCAGCAUGACCUGCUCCAGAGACAGCUGUCUCCUCCUGAAGACGUGGCGUGGUCAUUGCCCCGUCCAGGGCAGCCAGUGUGGGGGCAGAUCAGGUCUGCCUCUCAUCAGGUACACCCAGUCCUGCUGCUGCCCCAGGGCUGGGGUGGCCCCUGGCCCCAGCCACCGGCUCAGACCCCCCGAGACGUGUCAUCCACGCCUGCAGCUGCUGCUGCCAGCUUUCUCCUUCUCAGUGCUGAGUUUCAAUGACGACCCCAAUUGCCUUCUAAAGAGACACAUCAAGGACUCCUGUCACCAUGACGCCACUGGCCUUCUCACUGUUUGCUGAGACACCGGGCGCCAGCAGCCCCUGCCCUGGCCCUGUUGCUGGCUGAUAAAAAAAAAAAAAAAUUGCUUUCUCUGCCAAAGGCAAAAAAACCCCAGCAAGUCUUUUCUUGUGAGGAAGCUCUUAGGCUGACCAGAGAAGCUAGAGUGGGGAGCAGGGAGGGGGCAGAGGAGAGAGGGGUGGCAAGAGAGGAGGUGGCUUUCUCUUCCAGGCAGCCUUCCUGGAUCACUGUGGAGCAGGUGGCCGGCCAGCUGGGGUUGCUCACUAUUGAAGAAAGCUUCCCACUACUUCUUCGCUCAGGGUUCUGGAGGUAAUCUUUUACCUUUUUGCUUGUACUUGACAAUUAAUUUUUAUUAAGUAAUUUGAUCCUUCAGUCAUUUGCCCAGAAACCAUUCUCUGAAAACCCGGCAAGUCCGGGGCACUGUCAAGGUUCAACCCCUGCCCUCAGACUGUUUGCAGGCCGAGGGUUCGGAUAAGGCACGGUAAAGUGCUGUGGGCGGCGAGAAGUGGGCAAUCCAGGCUGGAAGCAUCGGGGAAGGCUUCUUGGAGGAGGGGGUAUCUAAGUGAAGACUUGAAGGACAGAUGGGGGUCAGCCAACCAGAGGUGGGGGCAUGCUCUAGAGGGAGGGGACACAUGUGCAAGACCCAGAGGCAAGAUGUAACACGGCAGGUCCCACGUGACUGCAUUUGACUGGCUGGCAGUGGCUGAAGGCUUCUGGCACGAUGGCUGUUGGUGCCCUGGACUGAGGCUGGGAACCCUGGAAAAAGUGCCGGCUUGAGGCGGGAGAUGGCAAGUUCCCGUGGUCUUGGGGGUGUGGGUGCUAGAGUCAGCUUGCGUCGCCUCAUGCGAGCACGUGUGCAUGUCUCUCCCCAAAUCUCUGUUCAGUCAUUUCAGGUUCGGUUCACUCGAGUUCAGUCGCUCAGUCGUGUCUGACUCUUUGCGACCCCAUGGCCUGCAGCACGCCAGGCCUCCCUGUCCAUCACCAACUCCUGGAGUUUACUCA
rnacentral:lncRNA from 1 species